GACGUAGGGCGCGAGCGUUGUCCGGAUUUAUUGGGCGUAAAGAGCUCGUAGGCGGCUUGUCGCGUCGUCCGUGAAAACCCACAGCUCAACUGUGGGCUUGCGGUCGAUACGGGCAGGCUAGAGUUCGGUAGGGGAGACUGGAAUUCCAGGUGUAGCGGUGAAAUGCGUAGAUAUCUGGAGGAACACCGGUGGCGAAGGCGGCAUCCUGGACCAACACUGACGCUGAGGAGCGAAAGCCAGGGGAGCAAACGGG
rnacentral:rRNA from 1 species